UUGACCUAUCUCUUCGUAGUGCAGCCCCGCGGAACUUUUCUUCCUCGUCCUCAACAGCCGUGGCCUAGAUCUUUGGAGACUGCAUGCCGGAGGCGUUUGUAUAGGCGAGGAAGGUGGCAGCGGUCUUGAGGCGGUGCCCCGGGUGUAGACUGGUGGCUUUCAUCGAGGCCAAAAAUUCAUGGGGCUCCAGAUCUCCACCAGAUCUAUCGGCAAUGGAAGAUGGGGUACUGGGGUUUCAGUCUUGGGAGCAACAUCACGAGAUCGUCAGAAUAUGGGUCGCAGACAACUGGAUGAUGAUGAUGUUGUUGAAGUGUGUGGAGAUUGGAAGAUGAGCAUUUGUUGGUAGAACAAUGUCAUGUAUUUUAGAUGUGUAGUCCCUAGCUUUCAUGUACAAUCUGAAAUAAUGUAUAUAUACGUGUUUGUUCACUUUUUGAGAUUCCUUUUUUCGAGUAUAAUGGCUAUAGAAAAGAUAA